AGUGAACGCUGGCGGUAGGCCUAACACAUGCAAGUCGAACGGCAGCACAGUAAGAGCUUGCUCUUACGGGUGGCGAGUGGCGGACGGGUGAGGAAUACAUCGGAAUCUACUUUUUCGUGGGGGAUAACGUGGGGAAACUUACGCUAAUACCGCAUACGACCUACGGGUGAAAGCAGGGGAUCUUCGGACCUUGCGCGAUUGAAUGAGCCGAUGUCGGAUUAGCUAGUUGGCGGGGUAAAGGCCCACCAAGGCGACGAUCCGUAGCUGGUCUGAGAGGAUGAUCAGCCACACUGGAACUGAGACACGGUCCAGACUCCUACGGGAGGCAGCAGUGGGGAAUAUUGGACAAUGGGCGUAAGCCUGAUCCAGCCAUACCGCGUGGGUGAAGAAGGCCUUCGGGUUGUAAAGCCCUUUUGUUGGGAAAGAAAAGCAGCAGGUUAAUACCCCGCUGUUCUGACGGUACCCAAAGAAUAAGCACCGGCUAACUUCGUG
rnacentral:rRNA from 1 species